rnacentral:ncRNA from 2 species
UCCUUGUCCACGCUUUCAGGUGCCCGACGGCAAGUCCAUUGUCUAGGGUUAAACGGGAAACAGGUGCGUAUUACCUACGUGUGGUAACGCUAAGCCUGUACUGCCCCCGCAACGGUAAGCAGAUUAUCUUUUUCCGCCACACCUCCCGGUGUUGGCAGCCACUGCGCCAGUGAAUCAGGCGUGGGAAGGCGAAGAAGCUGUGCUCAUGCACUUUGAGCAAUCUGUGAGUCCGGAGACCGGCCUAAGCAAAGGAAAUAGA